AAAAAGGUAAGCUAAUUUAAGCUACUGGGCUCAUACCCCAUUCAUGGACAAUACAAUCCCCUUCUUA
rnacentral:tRNA from 1 species